rnacentral:tRNA from 1 species
GCUCGCGUAGCUCAGUCGGUAGAGCGCGUCCUUGGUAAGGACGAGGUCAGCGGUUCAAUCCCGCUCGCGAGCU